AUAAAUCAUGAUACAAGACUAGGGCUAUCAGAGAUAAUAACAAGGUGAAGAAAAUCAUGAAAAAGAUAUAUCAUGAUAAUCAAGCAUAAUAAUAGGUCUUAAACUCCAGAACAGAUCGAAACCAGGUAGGUAGCUCUAGAUAUUAAAAACAUGUGCUCAUAACUUUCCAGGUUGUCACAUGUCACCCAUCCCAAGUAAGGAGAAACUUUGGGGUGCAUUUAUUCUCAACUCAUCUACAAUGGAGCUCCAGUUUAUUGGUAGUGGAGAUAGCUAGUGUCCAUCCAUAUCCUUGAUCUUCAGCCUGAGCAUGGCAUUUCUGUUCCAAACAAAAUAGGAAAACACAAAGGAUCAGGGAUGAACACGAUUAAGCACAAGUGGAACAAGACAAAUUGACAAGGCAAGUAAUUGUGCAACAACAUUCGAAUGUUAUGUGUCACUCAAAAUGCAGAAUGAUAUAAUUGACCAAGCAAUGAUGACUAGAUGUUUCCAUACCCCAAACGUGGUGUAUUUUUCCUUCUACAGCGUGAAAAGUAAAGAAGCAAUAGUCAAUGAGGGUAAAAGUCACCAAGGGGUAGUUUUUAGACAGGAUUAUACACUUGACAUGUAGGGCGAAAAUAUCAUGGUGGUAUAUCUAAAUUGAAAAACAUUCAACAACACAAGUGUGCCGAUGUAAAUUAUGCUAUCCAGAACUGAUAGGUGUGUGAAUAAUGGCAUGCUUAAAUAGACAUACUUGUAAAUUUUGUUCCAUGACACUACCGUAUCCUUUGUCGCAAAAAUAAAAACUACAGUAUUCUAAAAAACUGCAAGUAUCUACAUCCAGAGUAACAUGAGUGAGAUUCACCAUUCAAGCUCAGCCUACUGGUGAUAAGAAUUCAUAUAAUGUGAUAUCAAUAUAUGAGAAAUGAAGAAGAUGCAAUACAUGAACUUCCAUUCUUCAACUGCAAAUCCCUCCCUCUAAUUUCCCGGAUAUAUAACCCAAGAAAACAACAACAGUCAUGACCACGUAGACAAAAAACCAACAUUAGUGUUUAUAAAUCAUGCUACAGGUACAGAAAACAUCUCAAUUGUUGCUUCCUAGUCUUCCUAAAAUGGCUCGAGGAAUCAAUUAUGUAUCUACCACCAUUCCAUGAAUGUACUACACCAUGACUAUUGAUGAACCAUUAACUAAAAUAAUAGAGGACUACUAGUUUGGCUAUGUCAUUCAUUCUGAACUACACCGGAUAUGCUGGUGUAUUGAUCUAAGCUACAAAUUUUAGCUUUAAAGCACACAACAAGACAAAGCAACUGAAUAGAAAAUAGAUUGAUAGAGUGUACAAUUCAAAAACAUUAUAACCUCAACAAGACAAUAGAUUAUAUGAAGGCCAAAAACAAACCUUGUAGGAUCAUUUUUGAGUGCAGGAAAUACGGGAGGCCAAAUCAUCAUAAGAGGAUGGAUUUCACAGAAAAAUUUAUCACCGUCUUCCUUCUCAUACACCUUAUGCAUUGUUCUGCGCUUGAUGUCCAAGAGGAAUGUGCAUCGACCCAUGUCCAAGAACACAAACUCGGCAUUGUCUCCUGCCUGGUUUAUCAGGAGAGAAGCAUUGCCAUCUGCCAUACUCAAAUCAGCACACAUCUCACGCAAAUAAAUGGUGUCCAUCAGCAACCAUGUGUACCCAUUAUGGAGCCAGAUGCGAAGUUGAAAAUUCUUGACAUGGAUAAGAUAUACACCAGCAACAUCAUCGACCUGUGACAAUAUGGUGUUUCUCUCACCAUACUCCAUCCCUUCUGGGAGCUCAAUUAUGGAGAAACUUGAGGCCGCCAAAUCCAAGACAAUAAUGUUGCUCCAGCCAGCUGGCACAUAGAUUUUAUUGUUGGACAACACAGAUUUAAGUACUGACCAUGGACGAGGGGGCUGCUGUAUGAUUAAGCUAUGAUUCAUGCGCCAUAUGCCAUGUUUCAAGAUAUAUAUGUAUACCCUAUGUUUUCCAUCCGUUGUUUGGUGCAUCAACACAUACAAGUAAGACAAGGCAUCACCCUCUUCUUUGGACAUGAUUCUAGAGUAAGCAGUACCGUCAAAUAAGUACGGAGAUUGGGGGCGUGGAAACGGUGGGAGGAUGUCCAUGCCUCUCUCAGGACACACCACGUUGUGCACUGCAAACGUGGUUCCAAUUUUAUCAUGCUGCCUAAUGAGGACGUUGCCAUUCCGGCAACCAAGGAUGUAGGUUGGUACCGACGGUACUCUCUGAUAGGUGCCCAAGCUAGAGGUUGCGCGACGGAUGACAGCAGUGAGUUCACGGGGCUGAGGCAAUAUCGGGAUGAAGUGCGGGGUGUUCUGACCUUUGUUGAUGUAGAAGCCAAGAAGGCGGGGCGGGUGGAUCUCACGAAAUCGAUGGAGGAAGGCGCGGUCGGAGGCAUGGGCGAGCCAACGUGUGCAUACGAGGGCGGAGUUGAGAAGGGUGGUGGUGAAGACGGUGCGGAGGAGGAUCUCACUGAGGAGGUCGUCGUCCUCGAGCACCUUGGAUAUCGCCGCCAUUGAUGUUGGGGAACGCUGGUCAAACUGGGGUUAGGGGAGAAGAAUUGUAGGUCGAUGCCGGGGACGGGUGGGGUGAAGUCGCCGACGAAAUUGCGACACUCAUCCUUUAAUUGCUUACGUUUCAGGCAAGUGAAGAAAUGGCUUUUGGCACCUACCCCAAAAAUAAAUGACCACCCAGCCUGGCCAAUUAAGCCAAAAAUGGUAACUGUCGCAAUGUACAGCAAUUGUGGUCCACCUGCUUUUAUCUUCCGUUUUAUUGUGGUGGCGUGUGUUGCUUGCCUUUGUGAUCCCCACACCGGUCCACUACGGAUAGGGAGGGGCAUGGCCGUCGCUUCGCACAAAGCAGCUACUGAGCGAACCUACCGAAAGGUUUUGUACGAGUUUUACUGAUUUUAUGUAUAAACAUUUUAGAAGGUUCUGGUAUGUUUUCGCUAUUUUUAAUGGUUUUUUGUUGUCUAAAAAAUGUCCAUAAACAUUCAGAAUCUCAAAAUUUUACUCUGAAUUUUUAAAAGUUCAUACUUACAAAAAAAUAUACUCUCUGCGUCUCAAAAUAAGUGACUCAACUUUGCACUAAAGUUAGUACAAAAUUUAGUCACUUAUAUUGGGACAGAGGGAACAUUUUUUGAUUUGUUUGCAAGAAAUAUUUGGAAUUUCAAAAUAUGUUCAUGUUUUAAAAACAAAAAAAUCUCAAAAAAUGUUCACCUUUCAAAAAAUGCUUGCGUCUUCCAAAAAAGAUCAUAAACAUUUUGAAAAGGUUCAAAAUUUUCAAAUAAAAAUAAAAAUCUAAAAAUAUGUUCACACUUUUGUAUUUUUUUGUGAUUUUUUAGUAGGCUGAAUGAAAAGAAAAUAAGCACUCCUGCCGAUCGAUAUUAAUUGUCGCCGACUUAGUAAAUCCACAGCAAUUAACAUGGAUUAGAGGGAGUUCUAAAAAAGUGUGUUGCUAUAGUGCCCACUCCUUCACUUUUUUACUUGUCUCUCUCCUACACUUAGACAAAAGUGCCAUGCAAGCGGGCUUAUAGCCCACUAUUAUACUUACUCUUAUAUUGUUAACUGCUAAUCUAAGACCGGUUUAAAGCGUGUUCUAGUCUAUCUGGAUUGAGCGAGGGUGGUGACGUGUCAUGCACUCAUAUCAUCAUCCUUCACUCAUAACUGGAUAGCUUCUUCUACUUGUUUUGGCUUUGCACUUAUCUUGACAUGAAUAAUCUACAUAGUACUGUCAACUCUGACUAUUCGAAAGACGCCAAUUAGAAAAAGUAUAUACAGCAAAAUUACACCGUAAAAUAAUGGUUAAUUCGAUAUACAAGCCACGUCCGCAAUGGCAUUUAGCAAAGUAUCAGAAUGCUGGCAAUGCAAUGGUUAAAAGUUUCUUUCCAAGUGAAUUUUUUGUGUCGUCUGAUCAAAAUUUCAAUCAACGGGGUCGAUCUUGUAUGGUUUGUGUGGUAGGGUCAAUUUUCUCAAGGAAAAUGGAUAAGGUUGAACAGUGGUAAAUCCACAUUUGUUUUCUCACCAAUAAUUCGACCGAUCAGAUCAUGGGCACCACCAUCAGUUGCAAGAAAAAUUGAUGCAAAAUCGGAAACACAAUUUCUUGUGUCACAACGAACAGCUGAGUUAAUUGUAAGAAACCACCACACCACAUUGAAGGCUAGAUUAGCAGAAAACACGAGUUUACAUUUUUUUUGGACAAACAACACCAUGUCUAGUGUAAUCGUUUGGCAAAUAACAUUGAUUGGCGCAUUAGGCUUAUUUAAGCGUGUUUAUGGCAGGUGGGUCCCGCAUUUCGCUCACAUGGCAUAACAGUUCACGGAGACAGGGUUGGUUGAAAUGUACCAACAAUAGUCCCUGGAAUUUUACAUAGACACCCUUUAAUAAAAAACAAAAGCGAUCAGCCCCCGUGCACUGUGCCCAUGUGCUGCCGGAAUCCCGCCCGUCGCCGCUAGGUGGUCGCAGCCGCUCCGCGUGCCAGUCGUUGCACUCCGCCGCGCCUGAAGGCAUGGAGACAAUGGCGACGAACCGCACGCCGCCGGGAGCAGCCGCCCUGCAGGACACCCUCCGCCACCACCGAGGCGGUCAACGCCGACAGUCGGGGCCCUCCCUCAGCUUCAAGUAGGCGACCGCCGUAUAUGGUAUGUCUAGCCGGUGGCUAGAAUCGAUUCAACAACUAGCUCCUGUGCUUGUACGUCCGCAUCCAACCGGGAAGAAUCAAUCAACGCACGCCUAGAUCCGCAGUAGACAAAGUACUUCUUGCAACACCGAGCACUGUGCAUGCGUGCUAGUUGUUGCUGCUGCUUGCGGGAGAUGCGGCGGCCACCUUGUUCGCGAGGCAGAGUAGGCGCCAUUGGGUUCUUGGUGGGCAGUGGCGGCGCUAGGAAAUGAAGGCUGGGUAUUCAUUUAAAUAUAUUUUUUGCUCUAAAUAUAGUAUAUGAACCAAACAACAUACCACUAGCAAUAUAGAUGAACAAAACAACACUAGCAUACUAGAUGGAUGCAGAAUGUCCAGGGCGGAGUUGUGGAGGUGAGCCGGGAGGGGCUGGGCGCCUACUUGGGCCGGGGAGCCGCCAACCGGGAGGUCGGAGGCGGACCGGCGCCUGGCGAAGCCGCACCGCCGCAGAGGUCGGCGCAGAGCGGCAGAGGGUCGGAGGGCGUCUGGGCAAGGGCGGGCCAGCAAGGGAGGGAGAGGGAGAGGGUGGCCGGAGGGGAGGGGACCGAGGGGUGAGGCGAGGGAGGAAGGAGAGAGCCGACCUGGCCGCCGGAGCCGGACCUGAUUCCAGGGUAGGCUGAAUCGGGGGAGCUAGCUAGGUUUGGCAAAAGAGGGUCGAUUGAAAUUGGGGCUUGGCCGCUCGAGGCAGUACGUAAUCGAGGGAGGGAGACGAGCCACUCGUGCGCCUAGCCACUUAGCCAGACGCUGACUCGGUCGUGUCUGCUCCCCUGCGUAGCUUUUUUGCCGUGGCCCUAUUCCUUCUAUCGUAUAUGUACUAAUUUUUUUACGCGAAAUACUUGGGUAUUCCAGGGAAGUCCCAGGAAGACCCCUAGCACCGCCACUUUUGGUGGGGAGACCGGGUUGAGAGCGGCAUGGCGGCGGAGACCACCAUGCACUGCACUGCGAGCAUGCUAGGAGGUUUUGAGGCGCCGGCCGCGGAUCCGGCAUGGGGCAUGGCGUUAGAAGGGCGGGGGCUAUCUGGUCUGCGGUGGGGGAAGGUUUGGGGACGGCUGGUGGCCCGGGGAGAAAGUUUGGCACAUUUUUGCAAAAGACCCGCCGUCUCUUGCGAACUGUUACGCCACCUAUGCAAAAAAUGGGGCCCACCUGUCAUAAACGCGCUCAAAUGAGACUAAUCCACCUGUCAUAUUGGUUCCUACAUAUUCCACGAAGGUCAUUUAUCGUUUGAACCACGUUGUCAAGGAUUCGUUUAAUCCCGUAUGCAAUUCCCUUUGUCUGGGAAUAUGUUACUUGCCUGAGAUUGGAUCGUCAGUAUCUCCAUAUAUACCUAGUUCUAUCUCGUUAUCGACAAGUCUCUUUACUUGUUCCGUAAUACAAGAUCUCGUGACUAACUCAUUAGCCACAUUGCUUGCAAGCUCUUUACGAUGUUGUAUUACCGAGAGGGCCCAAAGAUACCUCUCCUCACACGAAGUGACAAAUCCCAGUCUCGAUCCAUGCCAACCCAACAGACACCUUCGGAGAUACCUGUAGAGCAACUUUAUAAUCACCCAGUUAUGAAGUGACGUUUGAUAGCACACAAGGUAUUCCUCCGGUAUCCGGGAGUUGCAUGAUCUCAUGGUCUUAGGAAUAGAUAGAUGACAUGAAGAAAACUAUAGCAAUAAACUCAAGUGAUAUGAUCAAAUGUUAAGCUUACGGUUGGGUCUUGUCCAUCACAUCAUUCUCCUAAUAAUGUGAUCCCGUUAUCAAAUGACAACUCAUGUCUAUGGUUAGAAAACCUUAACCAUCUUUGAUCAACGAGCUAGUCUACUAGAGGCUCACUAGGGACAUAGUAUUUGUGUAUGUAUUCACACUUGUAUUUAAGUUUCCGGUCAAUACAAUUCUAACACGAAUAAUAACCUUUAUCAUUAAUAAGGAAAUAUGAUAAUAACCAAUUUAUUAUUGCCUCUAGGGCAUAUUUCCAACAGGUAUCUUCCCGGGACCGACCCUGGAGAAUCGGCCAGACAAAUGCGCAAGCGGGCAUCAAUGCACUGGACUAAUUUCCGCGGCCAAUUGCACUGCAAAACCACCAACAAACAACAAUCCAUGCAUCAGCUCGCUAGAGGACAUGUAAAAUCAGUGUGCAGGAAAUGAAACACAGGGAGAACGGAAAUUAUAUUGCCGUUUGGGAAGAGAAGAGCUCACAUCGCCGUUUGGGAAGAGAAGAGCUCACAUCAACCAAUUGACGUGAGGCUGGAAGAGGAAGCGUCUUUCGCCGUCGGGGACGGGCGAGGUCAGGCCGCCGCCGCCCCCUCCUUAAUUUCUUUCGGCGGGGCUGAACUGCGUUUUUUUGAGAAAGCUGAAGUAUUCGAGUGGAAGUCGGUGGCUGGUUUUGGGAAGCUUCUUGAAGCUUCCAGUCCUUUUUUCCUUGGCCUUUUUUGUUUGGUUUGUCUUAUUUUCCCCUUUUAUGUUUUUCAUAUUUCCAUUUUUUUUCUCAAAAUGCAUGAACUCCUUUCAAACUCAAGAACUUUUUUCAAAUUCGUGAGUGUUUUCCAAAUUUGUUUUUUUAAAUCGUGGACGUUUUCCAAAUCUGUGAUUUUUUUCACAUUUGUGAAGUUUUCGCCUAAAAUUCCUGAACAUUUUUUAAUUUUAUUUUUCCUUAAAUCAUGGACCUUUUCCAAAUUCAUGAAUUUUUUUGUCCGUGACCUUUUUCAAACUCGUGAACUUUUAAAAAUCCACAAACUUAAAAAAAAAUCAGUGAUUCUUUUCCCAAAUUCGUGAAUUUUUCUCAAAUCUAUAAACCUUUUAUUAAACUAUUUUUUAUGAAACCUUGUCAGAGGGCGGGGAGCUCCCACGUUGCAUACUGAAGAAGAGAGUUGGUCCAAUUAAUUAAGGUACCCGACCCAAAAAUCAUAAAAAACUAACAAAAACCACGCACGCAACUGUUGAUUCAGCAUCAUCUACAGACUUCGUAUGGAAUGCCAUGUUUCAUGGGAGAAGCAGAUAUUGAGAAAUUUGCAGGUGCUUCACAAUGUAUAUUGCCAGAAGAAAGCUAUGAGCUUCAGAUUAGGCACCGAGAGUAUAUAGCAGUUGCGGCUUGGAUCCUGAGUAGAGAUGUGAAGGAUAGGGAGCAGGUCCCGAUGAAGGUUGAGAGUGAUGUACAACAAAUUGCAGCAGAUUCAUGGGCUCCAUUAUUGAGCAGGUUAACUCAAUCAGGUUUGCAGACAUCUGCAUAGCACCUACCUAAAGUGGCAGCAUGCAUAUGAUUUGGGGAAACAACAAUUUGGGGCAAACAACAGAGUUGAUGUUGUCAUCUUCUCUCUCUUUCUCUCUCUCUCCAGUCUUCCCCCAUUUCUUCUUUCCAGAUACAACAGAGUAGAUAGCAAGCAUAAAUCAUGAUACAAGACUAGGGCUAUCAAAGGUAAUAACAAGGUGAAGAAAAUCAUGCAAAAGAUAUAUCAUGAUAAUCAAGCAUAAUAAUAGGUAUUAAACUCCAGAAAGGAUCGAAACCAGGUAGGUAGCUCUAGAUAUUAAAAACAGGUGCUCAUAACUUUUCAGGUUGCACAUGUCACCCAUCACAACUAAGGAGAAACUUUGGGGUGCAUUUAUUCUCAACUCAUCUACGAUGGAGCUCCAGUUUAUUGGUAGUAGAGAUAGCUAG
rnacentral:lncRNA from 1 species